CCCUUAGAUGUUCUGGGCUGCACGCGCGCUACACUGACACUAUCAACGAGUGCUCCUGGUUUGAAAGGGUCGGGUAAUCUUUUGAAAUGGUGUCGUGAUGGGGAUAGAUCAUUGCAAUUAUUGAUCUUGAACGAGGAAUUCCUAGUAAAUGUGAGUCAUCAGCUCACGUUGAUUACGUCCCUGCCCUUUGUACACACCGCCCGUCGCUCCUACCGAUUGAGUGAACCGAUGAGUAGUCCGGAUUGCGAUCGACCUCGGUUAAUCGCGAGAAGUUCCGCAAAUCACUUCACUUAGAGGAAGGAGAAGUCGUAACA
rnacentral:rRNA from 1 species